rnacentral:rRNA from 1 species
AUUGAACGCUGGCGGCAUGCCUUACACAUGCAAGUCGAACGGCAGCGGACCUUCGGGUGCCGGCGAGUGGCGAACGGGUGAGUAAUGCAUCGGAACGUGCCAUUGAGUGGGGGGAUAACGUAGCGAAAGUUGCGCUAAUACCGCAUAUUCUGUGAGCAGGAAAGCAGGGGACCGCAAGGCCUUGCGCUCUUUGAGCGGCCGAUGUCAGAUUAGCUAGUUGGUGAGGUAACGGCUUACCAAGGCGACGAUCUGUAGCGGGUCUGAGAGGAUGAUCCGCCACACUGGAACUGAGACACGGUCCAGACUCCUACGGGAGGCAGCAGUGGGGAAUUUUGGACAAUGGGGGCAACCCUGAUCCAGCCAUGCCGCGUGAGUGAAGAAGGCCUC